UUCGGGAGAAUCCAGCGGAGAGAAUGUGGCAUUCAGGGAGAGGAGGGAAGACAAGAUGAGCGACGGCAGCCGGAGGGCCGUGUGAAGUACCAAAGUCCGAAAUCUGGAUGAAAGUCUUGUGGGGGGGUUUCCUGCGUGGGGGUGAAACUUUCAUCUGACGCUCUUGGAAGUUUAUAAAAACGCGUGGAAACGGGAUUUUCCUGGAAUACUAAUGCGCGGAUAAACGCUACUUUGGAAUCUUCCUGAACACCGACGCCGUGUCCGUUAAAUGUCGGGGAUUAAAAAGUUUCUGCGUGUUUACUGAAGAGGCGGCUUCCACACAGCCCCCACCCCCCCGCCAACCCUGGAAAUAACAACUGCCUGAAAUAAAGAGAGCGGGAAACUAAGCUGCAGAGAUCUUUCUCUCCUUUUAUCUCUCCUGGUGCUCAGAGGAAACCUCACCGAGGAGUUUUUUUCUUCACUUUGCUUCCUGGCUGUCAGCUGAGCGUCACAGGGAGGAAGUGGAGGUCUCACCUGAGGCAGGUGCACGUCUCCGGUGCUCAGCAUGAGGCCCUGAGGAGGCAGCGGGAUUUACUGUGAAGCUGGUUGGAUUUUAAGGAGGAGGAGGAGGGAGCAUGGGGAAGGAGCAGGACCUCCUGCAGGCGGUGAAGAGUGGAGACCUGCUGUCCACCCAGAAGCUGCUGUCCAAACUGAAGACCAACAGGAACAAGCUGCUGGGCUCCACUAAGAGGCUGAAUGUGAACUACCAGGACUCAGAUGGCGCGUGGGUUUGAGACGUUCAUCGGCCGCUUCAACACAGCAGCCUGGAAGGACACGAGGAGACUUUAAUCUGUCCUCGUCGAGUCCCCGAGGUUGUUUCCUCCCUCCUCAAUCUGACGAGCACGUCUUUAUAUCCUCUCUGUGCAUCCUGGAGGUCAAAUAAUAAUAGAGCAGGAAAAACAAAUAAAACGUUCAAUUAUGCUGUUCGACUAAUUUAUUGUAGAAAUGGAGUUAAUUAGACGGCGAUGUGCAGGUCAAAUAUCAACACCAGAUGUCUCUGUGGUGUAUCAGGUGUGGCGUCUGCCGUGGGUCCCAUGAAUCAGGAAGUGUCAGCUGGGCGUCGAGCUUCAUACAACACACGUUUGACUCCUUUCAGCUUUAAGUCGACACAAAAGCUCACAGACCGUCUGCAGACCACCGCGCCACCUUCAAGUGUCCGGCUCCUUUUGUGGGCUCCACAGAGGGCCGGAGGAGGAGGGCUGGUGGAAGCGGGGUCAAAGGUCAGGGGGGAGAGCGGCGACCAUUAAGAUAGGAGUGUUUACAAAGAGCCCGGAUGACUUAAUGCAGCGCUGACAGCAGAGGUCAGGAAAGGUUAAAGAGAGAGGAGACAAGUGGGCUCCUUAAGGACGGACGCUGGGAAAUAGUGUG